CCGGGCCAAUGCGAGCUGGGACUGUGUGGGAGUCUCUCUCCACCCCGGGAUCGGGCGCUCCGGUCCCCUGCCCGCCACGCCCAGCUGACCCUGGCCCCAGCAGGAGCGCCUGGCCUCCCUCCUCUGCCACCUCUCGCUGCUGACUUGCCUCCUCCGGGAGGAGAUAAACCCAUGGGGACUCUGUUUUCUGUGACAGCGCUUGGGGGCUGCGCCAAACACAAGUGCAGGAUUAAGAGACCGAGGCUGAGCCGAGGUGAAAGCCACGGCCAAGGUCACCGAGCCGAGAAGCGACUCAGAGCUUGGCCGCAAACUCAGAUCUCCUGACUGGAAUCCAGGGCGGCCGAGGCAGGAAGCCGGCAGGAUGGCCCCUCCGGGCCGGCUGCCCCGCGCCGGACUGUCCUCAGAUAAGGCGCUCCCCGGGAGAGGAAGGAUCUGGGACAAAGAAGAUCUGAGCGGGAGCGGGAGGACAGGAAAUUCUGUCGGCCGGGAUUUUCCCUGCCACCGGGAGCCCAGCGGAGGCGCAGGAGGGGCCAGCAUGCCAGGGUUCCAGGAGACGCCCAGUCACCGUGCCAGGCUCCGCAGUGGGUCCCGGGUAGGCCGAGUCCCCGCCCUCUAGGCUCUCACCAUCCAGGCAGUCAGAUCCCCAGGGUGCGAGGACAUCCUGCCAAUCACAGCUGCCGAGGCGGAAGGGGGGAGAGGAAGCGGGGGAGGGGAGACUGCUUAGAG